rnacentral:rRNA from 1 species
CGGCGUGCUUAAUACAUGCAAGUCGAACGAAGCACCUUGGACAGAAUCCUUCGGGAGGAAGACCAUUGUGACUGAGUGGCGGACGGGUGAGUAACGCGUGGGUAACCUGCCUUGUACGAGGGGGGAUAACAGUUGGAAAACGACUGCUAAUACCGCAUAAGCGCACAGUACCGCAUGGUACGGUGUAGAAAAACUCCGGUGGUAUAAGAUGGACCCGCGUCUGAUUAGCUGGUUGGUGAGGUAACGGCCACCAAGGCGACGAUCAGUAGCCGGCCUGAGAGGGUGACCGGCCACAUUGGGACUGAGACACGGCCCAGACUCCUACGGGAGGCAGCAGUGGGGAAUAUUGCACAAUGGAGGAAACUCUGAUGCAGCGACGCCGCGUGAGUGAAGAAGUAGUUCGCUAUGUAAAGCUCUAUCAGCAGGGAAGAUAGUGACGGUACCUGACUAAGAAGCUCCGGCUAAAUACGUG